rnacentral:rRNA from 1 species
GACGAACGCUGGCGGCGUGCUUAACACAUGCAAGUCGAACGAGCGGCGGACGGGUGAGUAAUGUCUGGGAAACUGCCUGAUGGAGGGGGAUAACUACUGGAAACGGUAGCUAAUACCGCAUACCAUCAGAUGUGCCCAGUUGGGAGUAGCUAGUCGGUGGGGUAACGGCUCAGCUAGGCGACGAUCCCUAGCUGGUCUGAGAGGAUGACCAGCCAGACUGGAACUGAGACACGGUCCAGAGUCCUAGGGGAGGCAGCAGUGGGGAAUAUUGGACAAUGGGCGCAAGCCUGAUGCAGCCAUGCCGCGUGUAUGAAGAAGGCCUUCGGGUUGUAAAGUACUUUCAGCGGGGAGGCGUUACCCGCGGAAGAAGCACCGGCUAACUCCGUGCCAGCAGCCGCGGUAAUUC